UGAGUUAUUAUGAAGUAGUUAGAAUAUGUAGUGUAGCGGUGAAAUGCAUAGAUAUUACAUAGAAUACCAAUUGCGAAGGCAGAUUACUAAUAAUCAACUGACACUGAUGGACGAAAGCGUGGGUAGCGAACAGGAUUAGAUACCCUGGUAGUCCACGCCGUAAACGAUGGUUACUAGCUGUUUGGACCUUGUGUCUGAGUGGCUAAGCGAAAGUGAUAAGUAACCCACCUGGGGAGUACGUUCGCAAGAAUGAAACUCAAAGGAAUUGACGGGGGCCCGCACAAGCGGUGGAGCAUGUGGUUUAAUUCGAUGAUACGCGAGGAACCUUACCAGGGCUUAAAUGUAAGUUGCAUUAGUUAGAGAUAGCUAUUUCUUCGGACCACUUACAAGGUGCUGCAUGGUUGUCGUCAGCUCGUGCCGUGAGGUGUCAGGUUAAGUCCUAUAACGAGCGCAACCCCUGUUGUUAGUUGCCAGCGAUUCAAGUCGGGAACUCUAACAAGACUGCCAGUGCAAACUGUGAGGAAGGUGGGGAUGACGUCAAAUCAUCACGGCCCUUACGUCCUGGGCUACACACGCGCUACAAUGGUAGGGACAGAGAGCAGCCACUACGCGAGUAGGAGCGAAUCUAUAAACCCUAUCACAGUUCGGAUCGGAGUCUGCAACUCGACU
rnacentral:rRNA from 1 species